rnacentral:rRNA from 1 species
GGGCAGACUAGAGUGAUGUAGGGGAGACUGGAAUUCCUGGUGUAGCGGUGAAAUGCGCAGAUAUCAGGAGGAACACCGAUGGCGAAGGCAGGUCUCUGGGCAUUAACUGACGCUGAGGAGCGAAAGCAUGGGGAGCGAACAGGAUUAGAUACCCUGGUAGUCCAUGCCGUAAACGUUGGGCACUAGGUGUGGGGGACAUUCCACGUUUUCCGCGCCGUAGCUAACGCAUUAAGUGCCCCGCCUGGGGAGUACGGCCGCAAGGCUAAAACUCAAAGGAAUUGACGGGGGCCCGCACAAGCGGCGGAGCAUGCGGAUUAAUUCGAUGCAACGCGAAGAACCUUACCAAGGCUUGACAUGAACCGGACCGCUGCAGAAAUGUGGUUUCCCCUUUGGGGCUGGUUUACAGGUGGUGCAUGG